GACGAACGCUGGCGGCGUGCUUAACACAUGCAAGUCGAACGGUAAGGCCCUUCGGGGUACACGAGUGGCGAACGGGUGAGUAACACGUGGGUGAUCUGCCCUGCACUUCGGGAUAAGCCUGGGAAACUGGGUCUAAUACCGGACAGGACCACUGCCUGCAUGGGUGGUGGUGGAAAGCUUUUGCGGUGUGGGAUGGGCCCACGGCCUAUCAGCUUGUUGGUGGGGUGAGGGCCUACCAAGGCGUCGACGGGUAGCCGGCCUGAGAGGGUGACCGGCCACACUGGGACUGAGAUACGGCCCAGACUCCUACGGGAGGCAGCAGUGGGGAAUAUUGCACAAUGGGCGCAAGCCUGAUGAAGCGACGCCGCGUGAGGGAUGACGGCCUUCGGGUUGUAAACCUCUUUCAGCACCGACGAAGCGCAAGUGACGGUAGGUGCAGAAGAAGGACCGGCCAACUACGUGCCAGCAGCCGCCGUAA
rnacentral:rRNA from 1 species